GCAGCUGGUGGAGCGCACAAUUGGGGUCCUUAAAGGGCGGUUUCGUGUGCUCCACCGCACUGGUGGCGACAUCAUGUAUUCGCCGUAGAUGGCAAGUAAACUAGUGGUUCUGUGCGCAAUACUACACAAUAUCGCGGUAAGGAGUAGCGUAGAGCUUCCUCAGACAGAGGAAUUGCCUGAUGAGGAGCCAGGGGUUGUUCAACACUUCGGUGGGGGGAGUGUUACACGGAGGGGGAGCCAAGUCAGGGCAAGCAUUGUUGCUGAAUAUUUCAGCUGAAUGAUCACACAAACUGUGGACGAGAACAACGGCAGACCUCUCAGCCCCCU